GGUAAUGUGAUGCUCACCUAAAGGAUAAGAGAGCUUGACAAGCUUCUGCUCACCAAAAAGGUCAAGACGAGAUGGCAUCUUCCGACAAUGGCCGUCACAGAACUCUGUGCUUCUUAUUAAAGAUGAAACAGGAUUGAAGAAGCCAGCAGGGCUCUGCUCAUGAUGCUUUCUAAAGUACUAAGAGUUCUGCUUCGGUCCAGAGUGUCUCUGCUUUCAUGGGACUGCGGCAGUAUGAUCUCUGCUUGCUUCUAAGAGAAAUAAGGACCUGGAAGGUAGGGCAUCC